AAGCAUUAAGUUAUCCACCUGGGGAGUACGUCGGCAACGAUGAAACUCAAAGGAAUUGACGGGGGCCCGCACAAGCGGAGGAACAUGUGGUUUAAUUCGAUGAUACGCGAGGAACCUUACCUGGGCUCGAACGCAGGGGGAAUGUAGGAGAAAUCUUACAGCUAGCAAUAGCCGCCUGCGAGGUGCUGCAUGGUUGUCGUCAGCUCGUGCCGUGAGGUGUCGGCUUAAGUGCCAUAACGAGCGCAACCCUUAUUGUUAGUUGCCAGCGGGUAAAGCCGGGGACUCUAACAAAACUGCCAGCGUAAGCUGUGAGGAAGGCGGGGAUGACGUCAAAUCAGCACGGCCCUUACGUCCAGGGCUACACACGUGUUACAAUGGCCGGUACAGAGGGCAGCUACCCCGCGAGGGGAUGCAAAUCUCUAAAGCCGGUCCCA
rnacentral:rRNA from 1 species